UACGGAGGGGGCUAGCGUUGUUCGGAAUUACUGGGCGUAAAGGGCGCGUAGGCGGUCCGAUAAGUCCCGUGUGAAAGCCCCCGGCUCAACUGGGGAACUGCACGGGAAACUGACGGACUUGAGUUCGGGAGAGGGAAGCGGAAUUCCGGGUGUAGCGGUGAAAUGCGUAGAUAUCCGGAGGAACACCGGUGGCGAAGGCGGCUUCCUGGACCGACACUGACGCUGAGGCGCGAAAGCUAGGGGAGCAAACGGG
rnacentral:rRNA from 1 species